UUUUUCAAAGAACCAAUACAAAGCUUUCCAUCUCAAAAACAUACUUAUGAACUCACCAACUUAAAUGUUGAUACACUUUCAAAAUCACUUGUAUUCUCAGGGAACCGGUAGACAGGUACACUCACUGGUUUUGAGAAGACGGAGCUUUAUAGAGUCUCGUCUUUUAUACUUCUGCUAUAUACUUUUGAUGUCACACAAAUCAUGUACUAAACAGAUGUAAACACUAUAUUUUAUCAAUGUAAUGGUUAUGUUUGCUUUGAUUACUAUUAUACAAUUGUUGUGAUACUGUACAUGACGUCCCCUGCCCCCGAAUGUUUCCGUCGUUCCGGUUUGGGGGUGUGACAGAUUGGUAUCAAAGCAUUGUUUAUAGUGAACUAAGUAUAUCAAACCUUACAAGAUAUACAACUAUAAACACAAUGGGGCCGAAGUGCUCUGACUAAAAGUAUACUUUUAAAAUCUAAGUAUUUUAUAAGAAGUAUACAAACGAUACAUACAUACCAGAAAACAGUAUCACAGUAAGAACUACACAAAAGUAUUUAGAUGUUGGACACUAUAGUUAAACCUAGAUAGUUAUGUAAUCAUAUCUGAGAUAAAUAUAGCCUAAUCAACUAUAUUUACUUGAGAUACGACCAACAUGUGUUUAGGAGUGAUCGUGGUGUUGUGAAAAGUCUAAAACUUACCUACACUAUAUACAAGAGAAACACUAGAACCAAACAUAAAGAAUGAAAUACUAUAGGAGUAUUUUAUGAUCCUACAACACUAGAACAAGAAACAUCUAGGCCUUGAUAGUUAUACAUAAUUCGUAUACACCAGGUGUUUAUAGAGGGACCCAAUGUGAGUCACACCAUACAAAUUCUUUACAAGUGUUGCUAUAAAUGAAGUUGGAGAUUGCAUACUUAUAUUAGUAGACUUCCACUUUAAAUCGCUUAAUAGAACAUUGUAACUGUUGGAAUAGUGUCUAAGGCUGCAACUAUAUUAGGCAAGUAUUUGACCCGAUUGUGCAUGGUCCUUUUGGGUUGCCUUCACCAUAGCAACUUGACAGGAUGAUUUAUAAUGAGAGAAGAAAUAUUAUUAAUAUAUUAUGAGUAUAAUAUAAGGAAUAAUAAUAUUGUUAUUUGAUUAAUAUAAGUCAUAAAUUAAUUAGAAAUUAAUUUGGUGACUUAAAGAGAUUAAUUGAAUAAAAGGGCAUAAACUGUCAAUUGUAUGAUAGUUGUACUUUGGGCUAUAAUCCCUUAUGGAUAAGGGGUGGACGGUUUUGGGGGCUUGGAAGGACCUAGAAUUUUUCCAAGGCUUAUCAUUAGGGAGAUUGGAUUGCUUAGGGCCUAAGAUAUCCAAUUAGGGUUUAAGGGUGAAACCCUAAGAGCCUCACUAGUAUAAAUAGACCCUAGGGGUCAAGGGAAAUCGGUACUCUUGCUUUUGAAGAAACCCUGGUCGACUUCCUCCCCUCUCCCCUCUCUCUCUAAUCAUCCUCUUGCUAGUUGGUGUUUGUAAGCCAUUAGAGGAGUGACAAUUGUGACUCUAAGCUCCAAGGACAAGAAGAUUCAAGCUAGCAACUCAAGGUAAUCUUCUAGAUCUGUUUUCUUAUGUUAUUAUACUAGAUCUAUUGAUCAAAGUCUUGGAUACAAUGCAUGUUCAAUUAGAGAAGCCUAGAUCCAAGCAUUAGGGUUUGUAUGUGCACAUAGGAAUGUUCUUAUGGCUCAAACCCAUCAGUAACCGUCAGGAUAAGAUAUAUCUUGUUCAUUAGCACCUGACGCACGACCACUAUAGAGGACUUAUCAUCAUUUUAUCUUUAAUUUUUUUAGAGAAAGAUGCAUCCAAAGAAGUCCAACAGGAAGAAAAACAAACCGCCAACAAAUCCACCACCCCCACCACCUCCUCAGUAUGACCCUAGUGUAUUCAAAGCACCAGUUACAGCCGCCAUGACGCAGAUCAAUGCAAGCGGCACUAGCUGGGCUGGUAGUGGUGCCAACCCAUCUAACCACGGGGAUAGUCAUGGAACCCAAGAGAGUGUUCAUACAAGGACUUCUCAAAUUCUAAACCCAAGUCAUUCGAUGGCACCGUAGGUGUCAUUGCUUUAACACGCUGGUUCGAGAAGACCGAAUCCAUAUUUGAAAUUUGCCCGUGUCCUAAAGCUAGCAAAGUGAAAUUUGCAACAUGCACUUUCACAGACAGAUCCCUCACUUGGUGGAACAGCCAAGUCAAGUCAUUGACUCUCCCAAUAGCCAAUGCCAUGAGUUGGGAUGACCUAAAGGAACUUAUGCUAGCAGAAUACUGCCUGAUGUGUGAGAUGCAAAAGUUAGUGCAGGAGAUCUGGAGUCUGAAGAUGAAGGACUCUGAUAUCGCUGCUUAUACUGCUAGAUUUAGUGAUCUAGCUCUUUUGUGUCCCGGGAUGGUCACCCCGGAGAGUAAGAAGGUGGAAAGGUAUAUAUGGGGAUUAAAUCCCCCGACUCAAGGAAAUGUUAUAGCUGCCAAUCCACUUACUUUCGAUAGUGCCAAGCGUUUGGCACAGACAUUAGUAGAUCAUGGAGAUCGCCAAGGCUCCGUAACAUUUGUUCCUGAACAGCCCAAGGAGAGUGACAGUAAAAAGAAAUUCUGGAACAAGCGAAAGGGCCAAUCUUCGCAGGAGCCCUCAAAGAAACAGCAAACAGUGGCAGUCUAUGCUGCUACCAUUCCUGUUGUUGUUCCUACUGCUCCAGCACCUCCCAGUCGAUACGUUGGUAACCUACCGAAAUGCAACAAAUGUAACUUCCACACACGGACCUUGUCGGGAAUUUCAAUGCACUAACUGCAACAGGAAGGGGCACACCGCCCGUUUCUGUAAGACACUGACACAGCCUAAUGCCCAGACCCCCGAAACUAGAGUAAGCCAAACCUGCUAUGGGUGUGGUGAAGUAGGGCACUACAAUAGGGAUUGCCUGAAGGCAAGAAAUGCUGGCAACAUAGGAAGAGUUCUAGCGAUGGGUCAGGAGGAGGCAGUUGCGGACCCCACGGUAGUCAUGGGUACGUUCCUUCUCGAUAACUCUUUUGCAUUCAUACUCUUUGAUAGUGGUACAGAGAGGAGUUUCGUCAGCCAUAAAUUUAAACACUUACUCAAACACAAACCACAAUCACUAAAUGAAACAUUCACUGUCGAGAUGCUAAUGGGAGGAAAGAGAGCACUAAUGACAUAUUCAUAGGUUGUACUCUCACUCUAAACAACCAUUCUUUCCCAAUCGACCUUAUGCCAGUCUCCAUAAAAAGCUUCGAUGUCAUUAUCAGAAUAGAUUGGUUAAGUCCUCAUCGUGCUGACAUUCUAUGCUUCGAAAAAGCCAUUCGCCUCAAUCUACCAAAUGACGAAACCCUCGUUAUCUACGGUGACAAACCCAGUACAAUCCUUCGCAUCAUCUCUUGCAUCAAAGCCUAAAAAUACCUACGAAAAGAGUGUCAUGCAUUCUUAGCUCAUGUAGUCAAUGAAAAACAAGAUGUAAAAGACCUCGAGAGCAUUCCCAAAUUCUGUAAUUUUUCUGACAUCUUUCCUGAAGAUCUUCCAGGAGUUCCUCCUAAAUGCCAAGUCGAGUUCUGAAUCGACUUGAUUCAUGGAGCUACCCCCGUAGCCAAAUCCCCGUAUCGCCUAGCACCUGCAGAGAUUUCGGAAUUAUCUAGCCAAUUAAAUGAACUACUCGGUAAGGGAUUCAUCAGACUGAGCUCUUCACCCUGGGGAGCACCGGUCCUGUUUGUGAAAAAGAAGGAUGGAUCUUUCCAGAUGUACAUAGAUUAUCACGAACUAAACAAGCUUACCAUUAAGAACCAAUACCCUCUUCCGCGAAUAGACGACCUCUUCGAUCAACUCCAAGGAGCCAGCUACUUUUCAAAGAUUGACCUAAGAUCAGGGUAUCACCAAUUACGAGUCCAUGAGAAUGAUGUUCCCAAGACAGCAUUCCGAACUCAUUAUGGUCACUACGAGUUUGUAGUAAUGCCCUUUUGUCUAACAAAUGCACCCGCGAUAUUCAUGGAUCUAAUGAAACGGGUAUGUCAUCCCGUCUUAGACAAAUUCGUGAUAGUAUUCGUAGAUGAUAUACUCAUCUACUCACGAAGUGAGGGAGAACAUAGCCAGCACUUGAGACAAGUCUUAGAAACAUUAAGGGCGGAAAAGUUUUAUGCUAAAUUCUCAAAGUGCGAUUUUUGGAUUAGGAAGGUAAAUUUCCUUGGUUAUGUGGUUAGCGAAGAAGGAAUACACAUGGACCCCUCCAAAAUAAAGGCAAUCGAGAACUGGUCAACACCCAGAACACCAACAGAGAUCUGCCAAUUUUUAGGACUUGCUGGCUAUUAUCGCAAAUUCAUACAAAACUUCUCCAGAAUCGCUAAACCUCUUACUGACCUGACUCAGAAGGGUGUAACUUUUAGCUGGGGAGAGAAAAAAGACAUUGCGUUCCAAAUACCGAAGCAAGCCCUGUGCAGCGCACCUAUCUUGUCUCUUCCAGAAGGGACAGAAGACUUCGUAGUAUACUGUGAUGCAUCUAAUCAGGGGCUAGGUUGUGUGCUUAUGCAGUGAGGAAAGGUUAUUGUCUAUGCAUCGAGACAACUAAAGGCACACGAAGCCAACUACACCGCUCAUGAUCUUUAGUUGGGAGUUAUAGUUUUUGCACUAAAAAUAUGGAGGCAUUACCUUUACAGUACCAAGUGCACCAGCUUCACCGACCACAAAAGUUUUCAACACAUCUUUAAUCAGAAAGAACUUAAAAUGAGACAACGGCGAUGGGUAGAACUACUUGAUGAUUACGAAUGCGAAAUUCGCUAUCAUCCCGACAAAGCCAAUGUAGUAGCGGAUGCUCUUAGUCGAAAGGAGUACUCAGGUUGUAGAGUGAAGGCACUAACCAUGAAAAUCCAUUCACAUCUAUCCACACAGAUCAAGAAGGAUCAAUUAGAAGCCUUGCAACCGGAUAAUGUAGCAGAUGAAGCCUUAAGAGGAAUGGAGAACAACUUAGAAAUCAAGGGUGACGGAGUUCGUUACUUCAUGAAUCGGAUCUGGAUACCGAAGUUUGGUGGCUACAAAGAUGUUUUCAUAAAUGAAGCCCACAAGACUCGAUAUUCCGUUCAUCCAUGUUCAGAUAAGAUGUAUCUGGAUCUCAAGAAACUUUAUUGGUGGCCAAACAUGAAAGCAGAGAUUGCUACCUAUGUAGGCAAGUGUCUAACUUGCGCCAAAGUCAAGGUAGAAUAUCAAAAGCCCUCAGGUUUACUUCAACAGCCAGAGAUACCUGAGUGGAAGUGGGAGCGGAUUACAAUGGAUUUCAUAACCAAGCUGCCUAAGACCCUGGGUGGUCAUGACACCAUUUGGGUAAUCGUCGACGGAUUAACCAAAUCUACUCACUUCCUACCAAUAAAGGAAACAGACAAGAUGGAGAAAUUGACCAGAACAUACAUCAGAGAGAUAGUAUGACUGCAUGGUGUGCCCAUGUCUAUUAUAUCAGAUAGAGACAGUAGAUUCACCUCGCGGUUUUAGCAGUCAUUACAGAAAUCUCUGGGAACUAGUUUGGACAUGAGUACAACCUAUCUCCCACAAACUGACGAGCGGAGUGAGAGAACCAUUCAAACACUAGAAGACAUGCUAAGAGCAUGUGUGAUUGACUUUGGUAAAUAAUGGAAUACCUAUUUUCCAUUUGUCGAGUUUUCAUAGAACAAUAGUUACCACUCUAGCAUCAAGGAUGCCCCAUUCGAAGCCCUUUAUGGCCGUAAGUGUAGAUCCCCUCUUUGUUGGCUGAAGUGGGUGACACGCAGCUAGCUAAAGGGCAAGUACUGGAUAGCACUCUCACUGGCCUGAAGAUCAUUCGAGAAACCACUGAAAAGAUUGUUCAAAUCCGAGAAUGAUUGAAAGCCUCUAGAGAUAGACAAAAGAGCUACACAGACAAGACACAAAAACCCUUGGAAUUCCAGGUUGGUGACCGUGUUGUGUUGAAGGCCUCACCCUGGAAGGGCAUGAUACGCUUUGGAAAGCAUGGAAAACUAAAUCCAAGGUACAUUGGGUCAUUCGAGAUUCUCGCUAGAAUCGGCCCAGUAGCUUAUAAACUCCGUCUACCACAAGAACUUAACAACGUACACUCUGUCUUCCACGUGUCAAAUCUAAAGAAGUGUCUAUCCAACGAGACUCUUCUGAUUCCACUCGAUGAAAUCAAGAUAAACGAGAGUCUUAACUUUGUGGAAGAACCAGUAGAAAUCAUGGAUAGGGAAGUCAAAUGAACGAAACAAAGACGCAUGCCAAUAGUGAAGGUUCGCUGGAAUGCCAAGCGAGACCUGGAUUCACUUGGGAGCGAGAAGAUAAAUUGAGAAAAAAAAUACAUGCAUCUUUUCCCUAGUCCAUGAUGUACUCUCUACAGAAAGAAUUUCGGGACGAAAUUCCCUCUAACGGGGGGAUAAUGUAACAACCCGUUAUUUUCAAGUCAAUAAAAGUCAAACCCUCUAAAUAAAAUUUGAGUUUUAUUUAUUUUGUUAAGAUCAUAAGGGUUAAAUAUGAUUUAAAUUAUAUAAAUGUUGUUUUAUAUAAGUAUUUUAAGGGUUGGAAUAAAAUACACUUAAGAAUCUUAACAUUUUUCCUUGGAACCGAGAACCUUCGCACCGAAAACCUUUCUCAGCCGAAAACCUUUGGACUGCAAACCCCCAUCGAGAACUCCCCUGGAGCGAAAACUCCCUUCUGACCGAGAACCCUCUUGAUAUAUAUAACUUCACUCGAAAACAUGAGUCAUUUCUCACUUUUCCAACCAAAAACACACUCAUUUUGCUCUCAAGUAUCAUCCAAGAACCUUCAUAUCUUCAAGCAAAAUCCUUCAAAUCUUCAUAAUUUUCACAAAGAAUACCAAGAACAAUGUUCAAAUCUUCAGGCUGACCGAAAACCAUCAGGACCGAGAACCACUAGACCGAAAUUCUUCCUGACCGAGAACACCUUAAGACCAUGAACUUGGUUCUCGGUUGAGGUUUUAAGACCGAAAUCAAGGGAUUUCGGUGAAAGCUAGACCGAACACACCUAACAACACUCCAAAAUAAUUCUCAGUAAUUUUUGUAAGUAACCUUACAUAAACUAAGUGUUGUUUAACACCUUAGUUAAUUAUUUUGCUAAUUUAAAUACAAUUAUAUGUUUAAAUAAUAUUAGGAUACCGUCAUUUACACGUACGCUAGCCCGAGGAUCAUCUCUGCAGUUUCGCUACCUGAUCACGAACACGCACUAGAGGUGAGUUCAAACCCCUACGUUUUCACUAUUUCUCAAUGUUUUUUUUUGGAGGGGGGGGGGGGGAAUACAAGUUAAACAAAAGGACUCUUGUGUUAAUAUCCAAAUGAUUUCAAACCAUUUGAAAUUGUUUCACAUUAAUUUAUUGCCAUUUUUAACAAAAUUAUAUUCACAUAUAUUCAUAUAUAUAAAGAAGGUUCAACAGACUUAGAAUUGGCAAUUCCGCCCUAAAUCUUGUUCCUUGUUUGGUUGUGGGUUUAGGAUAGAACUACUUAUUCGGCUGUCUUUUCACUCUUGAUUAUAUGUUAGGAAUAUAUGUGAGUGUAGAACAUAUUGUCUACCCUUUGUAACAUGCCAAGCAAAAGGGAACUCUAUACAAAUCUUUUAUUACUGCUUUAUAUACACUGAUAAAUUGCAAAGGUUUUCAGUUCAUUACAGAGUAUACAUUUAAACUAUAAUAGGUAUAGUUUGUGAAUCGCUACACUAUUUUGCUAAGUUCAAUAAACGAUAUAAGAACAUACACUUAAACUAUAAUUGGUAUAGUUUGAGAACCACUACACUAUUUUACAAGCUCAAUAACACUAUACAGAAACAAGUAUAUAAACUAUAAUAGGUAUAGUUUAUGGAACACUACUCUAUUUCACUAAUUCAAGGAUACACUAAUAAAAUAAUUAUUUAAGUAUAAUUAUUUUACAUUACAAAGUACACUACUACAAAGUAAUACAUACAGUUUCAAGUACAAGAGAACACUACUACACUACACAUAAACUAGUUAUUACGGGAAUGUUAGGCACUACUUCAUUGUAUCCAUCAGGGUACAGGUUCAAGUCCUAUAAAUUAUAACCAAAGUCUCCUAGAGGGAGAGCGUGAAUUUGUGUAUAGAUCUAUACGGGACUGACAAUCCCGCACCUGAACUGCUAUCUACAGUUAGGCUGGCAAGCCUGGGGUGACAAAUGUCAUAACAUUCCGACGCCUGAAGAACGUCGUAGAGGUCACUAGUCAUUUUAGCAUGGUUAUAUGAAACUCACAAUAGUAACAACUAAAACCUUGUUUGCGGAAUUAACACUACUUCAAGAGUUUUAUUUUAAUUAAUAAAACUACAGUACACUAUUUUACACUACAGCUGGUGGAUUCCAGGCAUUCAUACAAACACUAAUACGACACACUACUUUUCUAGUACAGAGUACACUAGUACAACAUACAAUUUCAAGAAACAUUCAUGAUAAAGUUAUAUUUAUUAAUAAGACUACAUUUCAUUCACUAAAGAAAAUAUUGGAUUUUCUAGGAGAACACUAUAACAUUUUUCAAUGAACCAAGACAAAGCUUUCCAUCUCAAAAACAUACUUAUGAAAUCACCAACUUAAAUGUUGAUACACUUUCAAAAUCACUUGUAUUCUCAAAGAACCGGUAGACAGGUACACUCACUAGUUUUGAGAAGACGGAGCUUUAGAGAGUCGCAUCUUUUAUACUUUUGCUAUAUACUUUUGAUGUCAUACAAAUCAUGUACUAAACAGAUGUAAACACUAUAUUUUAUCAAUUUAAUGAUUAUGUUUGCUUUGAUUACUAUUAUACAAUUGUUCUGAUACAGUACAUGACGUCCUCCGCCCCCAAACGUUUCCGCUGUUUCGGUUUUGGGGUGUGACAACCAAUCCGGCUUACGAACAAUAAUGUUUAAAAGUCGGCUUCAAUAAGACAAAUUUGGUAGAAAAAAUUAACAAACCUCUCCAUAGAAUAUGAUUUGGGGUGUUUCUACCUCUACUGAUUCUCGUCCCAUUUCCAUACUUCCUUUUUCCUUCUAUUUUAUCCUUCACUUGUAAAUAUAUGUUCAGAAGUUUAAUUACAGAAUUUUCAUAGGAAAGAGAAAACCAUAUAAGGAAGCUUUGGCAUUUAAGGAGAUAUAGCAUGAAAACCAAAAACUUGUGGCCACUCAUCAAAAGAUAGAUGUUCAACUUUAAAAUAGAUUUAACUGAAAAUUUGCCCCAUCUCAAUCAAUCAAAAUUUGUAGCCUAU
rnacentral:lncRNA from 1 species